GAACCAGAGGGCAUCGUUGAUGCUGAUAACAGGAAGAUAUUUAUUCCAAGUUCCUGUGUGUGGAUACACGCCACCGGGGCGGCGUUUCGAGACUCUCUACUGCGAGCAACUUUGGGGACCACUUUGCGAACCGUUCAAUCGGCGCCGCCACCACCAAACCCCAAGGGCAGAUCUCGGCUGAGGUUUUGGGUAAACUGGGAAACAUUUUGCACUCGGUUGACACACAAAUCAACAAGGGGCACCAGGAGUCA